rnacentral:lncRNA from 1 species
GCCGGGGCGGCGCGUGAGACCCACCUGCUCCAGAGCCUCCGCCCGCAGCUGUCGGUGCCUCUGGCCUGCGCCCACCCCGCCCGCUCCUCGGGGCGCUUUGGAGGAGGCGGCAUCGGCGCUCGCCCAGGGGAAUGAGGCUCCAAAAUGAAUCACAACUGGCGGGUCUGACUUCGGGCCUUUGCAGAUGCUGUUCCCCUGCCUGGAGCGCACUUAUCACAAG